rnacentral:lncRNA from 1 species
CAACCUUCUUAAAUCUCUCAUAGUAGUAUCACACAUUCUUCUCAUCUUAUUUUCCAUGUAGGUCUCGCGUAUUCUACUCUAAUAAGUCCUCUAUUAUGUUCUUUCUUUUUUAUCUUUUAUGUUACUAUUUUUUCUUCUAAUUACGUUUUUAUUGCACUUUUCUUCUCAAUCUCGCAUCUCUUAUGUUAUUUUUUUCAUCUUUUCUAAUCUCUCAUCUCAUAUGUUUUUUUAUGUUUUAUUAUAAUGUCUUUGAUAUUAUUUUAUACUACUAUUUAUAUUUGUCUUUUAUUUCACUUUUUUCUAAUCUGGUUUUUUGUAUAUUGAAUGGAACGUUUGUCUAAAUAUGA